rnacentral:rRNA from 1 species
UGGGGAAUUUUGGACAAUGGGCGAAAGCCUGAUCCAGCAAUGCCGCGUGUGUGAAGAAGGCCUUCGGGUUGUAAAGCACUUUUGUCCGGAAAGAAAUCCUUGGCUCUAAUACAGUCGGGGGAUGACGGUACCGGAAGAAUAAGCACCGGCUAACUACGUGCCAGCAGCCGCGGUAAUACGUAGGGUGCAAGCGUUAAUCGGAAUUACUGGGCGUAAAGCGUGCGCAGGCGGUUUGCUAAGACCGAUGUGAAAUCCCCGGGCUCAACCUGGGAACUGCAUUGGUGACUGGCAGGCUAGAGUAUGGCAGAGGGGGGUAGAAUUCCACGUGUAGCAGUGAAAUGCGUAGAGAUGUGGAGGAAUACCGAUGGCGAAGGCAGCCCCCUGGGCCAAUACUGACGCUCAUGCACGAAAGCGUGGGGAGCAAACAGGAUUAGAUACCCUGGUAGUCCACGCCCUAAACGAUGUCAACUAGUUGUUGGGGACUUCAUUUUCCUUAGUAACGUAGCUAACGCGUGAAGUUGACCGCCUGGGGAGUACGGUCGCAAGAUUAAAACUCAAAUGAAUUGACGGGGUCAUAGCUGUUUCCU